rnacentral:rRNA from 1 species
UGGGGAAUAUUGCACAAUGGGCGCAAGCCUGAUGCAGCCAUGCCGCGUGUAUGAAGAAGGCCUUCGGGUUGUAAAGUACUUUCAGCGGGGAGGAAGGUGUUGUGGUUAAUAACCACAGCAAUUGACGUUACCCGCAGAAGAAGCACCGGCUAACUCCGUGCCAGCAGCCGCGGUAAUACGGAGGGUGCAAGCGUUAAUCGGAAUUACUGGGCGUAAAGCGCACGCAGGCGGUGUGUCAAGGCGGAUGUGAAAUCCCCGGGCUCAACCUGGGAACUGCAUCCGAAACUGGCAGGCUUGAGUCUUGUAGAGGGGGGUAGAAUUCCAGGUGUAGCGGUGAAAUGCGUAGAGAUCUGGAGGAAUACCGGUGGCGAAGGCGGCCCCCUGGACAAAGACUGACGCUCAGGUGCGAAAGCGUGGGGAGCAAACA